CAGCUAGUUGGUGAGGUAACGGCUCACCAAGGCGACGAUCAGUAGCUGGUCUGAGAGGAUGAUCAGCCACAUUGGGACUGAGACACGGCCCAAACUCCUACGGGAGGCAGCAGUGGGGAAUAUUGGACAAUGGGCGCAAGCCUGAUCCAGCCAUGCCGCGUGAGUGAUGAAGGCCCUAGGGUUGUAAAGCUCUUUUGUGCGGGAAGAUAAUGACGGUACCGCAAGAAUAAGCCCCGGCUAACUUCGUGCCAGCAGCCGCGGUAAUACGAAGGGGGCUAGCGUUGCUCGGAAUCACUGGGCGUAAAGGGUGCGUAGGCGGGUCUUUAAGUCAGGGGUGAAAUCCUGGAGCUCAACUCCAGAACUGCCUUUGAUACUGAGGAUCUUGAGUUCGGGAGAGGUGAGUGGAACUGCGAGUGUAGAGGUGAAAUUCGUAGAUAUUCGCAAGAACACCAGUGGCGAAGGCGGCUCACUGGCCCGAUACUGACGCUGAGGCACGAAAGCGUGGGGAGCAAACAGGAUUAGAUACCCUGGUAGUCCACGCCGUAACGAUGAAUGCCAGCCGUUAGUGGGUUUACUCACUAGUGGCGCAGCUAACGCUUUAAGCAUUCCGCCUGGGGAGUACGGGUCG
rnacentral:rRNA from 1 species